UUACAUUUUAAACAGAGGUCAAGUACCAGCAGUUGCUGAAAUGAAUUUUCUUGAUCGUGUGAAAUGGUUAGAUAUGUAUGGAGUUGAUCUUCACCCAGUUCUGGGAGAAGAUAAUAUUGAAUAUUUCUUAGGUUUAACACCAAGUGGUAUUAUUGUUCUUCGAAAUAAAACUAAAGUUGGAAAUUAUUUUUGGCCAAGAAUAACAAAAGUAUAUUUUAAAGGAAGAUAUUUUAUGUUGAGAGUUAGAGAUAAAAAU